rnacentral:rRNA from 1 species
UACGGAGGGGGCAAGCGUUAUUCGGAAUCAUUGGGCGUAAAGGGCGUGUAGGCGGCUUUGUAUGUCUCAUGUGAAAGCCCUCGGCUCAACCGGGGAAUUGCAUGGGAAACUGCAAAGCUUGAGUCCGGGAGAGGAGAGUGGAAUUCCCAGUGUAGCGGUGAAAUGCGUAGAUAUUGGGAGGAACACCAGUGGCGAAGGCGGCUCUCUGGACCGGUACUGACGCUGAAACGCGAAAGCCAGGGGAGCAAACGGG